UCGAGGAUCUUCGGCACUGGGCGCAAGCCCGACCGAGCGACGCCGCGUGUGCGACGAAGGCCUUCGGGUUGUAAAGCACUGUCGAGGGGGAGAAAACCCCGCAAGGGGCUGAUCCAUCCCUGGAGGAAGCUCGGGCUAAGUUCGUGCCAGCAGCCGCGGUAAGACGAACCGAGCGAACGUUGUUCGGAAUCACUGGGCUUAAAGGGCGCGUAGGCGGGCUGCCAAGUCCGGGGUGAAAGCCUCCGGCUCAACCGGAGAACGGCCUCGGAUACUGGCGGCCUGGAGGCGGGUAGGGGCGAGCGGAACUGUGGGUGGAGCGGUGAAAUGCGUUGAGAUCCACAGGAACUCCGGUGGCGAAGGCGGCUCGCUGGACCCGAUCUGACGCUGAGGCGCGAAAGCCAGGGGAGCGAACGG
rnacentral:rRNA from 1 species